UCCUACGGGAGGCAGCAGUAAGGAAUAUUGCUCAAUGGCCGAAAGGCUGAAGCAGCAACGCCGCGUGGAGGAUGAAAUACUUUUGUAUGUAAACUCCUGUGAGAAGGGAAAAAUAUGCAGAUUUUCUGCGUUGAUUGUACCUUCAGAGGAAGCCCCGGCUAACUACGUGCCAGCAGCCGCGGUAAUACGUAGGGGGCGAGAGUUGUCCGGAUUUACUGGGUGUAAAGGGUGCUCAGGUGGAUUUGUAAGUCAGAGGUGAAAUCCCAAAGCUCAACUUUGGAGCUGCCUUUGAUACUGCAAGUCUUGAGUUUGGAAGAGGGUAAUGGAAUAUCUGGUGUAGCAGUGAAAUGCGUAGAUAUCAGAUAGAACACCAAUGGCGAAGGCAGUUACCUGGUCCAAAACUGACACUAAAGCACGAAAGUGUGGGGAGCAAACAGGAUUAGAUACCCUGGUAGUCCACACCCUAAACGAUGAAUACUAGAUGUUGGUCCUUUUAAGGGUCAGUAUCCAAGCUAACGCAUUAAGUAUUCCACCUGGGAAGUACAAUCGCAAGGUUGAAACUCAAAUGAAUUGACGG
rnacentral:rRNA from 1 species